UACGUAGGUGGCAAGCGUUGUUCGGAAUUACUGGGCGUAAAGGGCUCGUAGGCGGCCAACUAAGUCAGACGUGAAAUCCCUCGGCUUAACCGGGGAACUGCGUCUGAUACUGGAUGGCUAGAGGUUGGGAGAGGGAUGCGGAAUUCCAGGUGUAGCGGUGAAAUGCGUAGAUAUCUGGAGGAACACCGGUGGCGAAGGCGGCAUCCUGGACCAAUUCUGACGCUGAGGAGCGAAAGCGUGGGGAGCAAACAGG
rnacentral:rRNA from 1 species